rnacentral:rRNA from 1 species
AACGAACGCUGGCGGCAGGCCUAACACAUGCAAGUCGAGCGAGGACUUCGGUCCUAGCGGCGGACGGGUGAGUAACGCGUGGGAACGUGCCCUUUGCUACGGAAUAGCCCCGGGAAACUGGGAGUAAUACCGUAUGUGCCCUUCGGGGGAAAGAUUUAUCGGCAAAGGAUCGGCCCGCGUUGGAUUAGGUAGUUGGUGGGGUAAUGGCCUACCAAGCCGACGAUCCAUAGCUGGUUUGAGAGGAUGAUCAGCCACACUGGGACUGAGACACGGCCCAGGCUCCUACGGGAGGCAGCAGUGGGGAAUCUUAGACAAUGGGGGAAACCCUGAUCUAGCCAUGCCGCGUGAGCGAUGAAGGCCUUAGGGUUGUAAAGCUCUUUCAGUGGGGAAGAUAAUGACGGUACCCACAGAAGAAGCCCCGGCUAACUCCGUGCCAGCCGCCGCCGUAACAC